rnacentral:rRNA from 1 species
UGCAAGUUGAGCGAAGCUUUUUGGUAGUUUACUACUAGAAAUGACUGAGCGGCGAACGGGUGAGUAACGCGUGAGCAAUCUACCUUAGUUACUGGGAUAGCCCGAGGAAACUCGGAUUAAUACCGGAUAUUCUUAUUUUUUCACAUGAAGUUUUAAGGAAAGGUCAGCCGAACUAAGAUGAGCUCGCGUUCUAUCAGCUAGUUGGUGGGGUAAAAGCCUACCAAGGCUACGACGGAUAGCUGGUCUGAGAGGACGAUCAGCCACACUGGGACUGAGACACGGCCCAGACUCCUACGGGAGGCUGCAGCAGGGAAUAUUGUGCAAUGAGCGAAAGCUUGACACAGCGACACCGCGUGUGGGAUGACGGUUCUAGGAUUGUAAACCACUUUCAGGAGGGAAGAAAAUGACGGUACCUCCACAAGAAGACCCGGCCAACUAUGUGCCAGCAGCCGCGGUAAUACAUAGGGGUCAAGCGUUGUCCGGAUUUAUUGGGCGUAAAGAGCUCGUAGGCGGUUCAACAAGUCGGUCGUAAAAGUUAGGGGCUCAACCCUAAAAUG